rnacentral:rRNA from 1 species
UACGUAGGUGGCAAGCGUUGUUCGGAAUUAUUGGGCGUAAAGGGCGCGUAGGCGGUUUGUUAAGUCAGUUGUGAAAGCCCGGGGCUCAACCCCGGAGGGUCGACUGAUACUGGCGGACUAGAGUACGGAAGAGGUAGCUGGAAUUCCCGGUGUAGCGGUGAAAUGCGUAGAUAUCGAGAGGAACACCUGCGGCGAAGGCGGGUUGCUGGGCUGACACUGACGCUGAUGCGCGAAAGCCAGGGGAGCGAACGGG